CCAGGGUCCCCCAGUCCUUUGUGCCUGGUAUUUGGUGACGAUGGCCCUGGUAAGCAGGGUAUCUCCAUGGACCACUUGCCUCCCUGCCCUCUUCCCCCUCCCGGGAAGCCCAUGUCCCCCCAAGGGGCCAGGUUUAUGACACAGUGUCUUCUCUAAGUGUUCUGGAGGUGGGAGGAGCCCUUCUCCCCUCCCCCCAUCAGUGGUCUCCCCUCCAAGGCUCCCCGACUGCCAGCAGAGCGCCCCCCAGUUCUGCUCUCUCCUCCUGAGUUUAGACCUGGGAGAGCAACAGCGCAUUGUCCUGUUGGCCCCUGGCCCUAGGCGGGUGCUGGCUGCGUGUGGCCCCGGUGCAGCUGCCCUGGGCGUGGGGCAUUGUCCAUCUUCCACAGACGGCUCCGUUUUUUCAGGCAGAGGCCCUGUCCUCCUUGGGAUCCUGCGCCAUCAGGAUGGGGGCGUUUGUCCUCCUGACACCGGUGCUGGAAGCCACUCUGACCACAGCAUCCGGCAGA